rnacentral:misc_RNA from 1 species
AACGCACGAGACCUGCGGACCUGCGGAAGGAUCAUUAAAAAGAGUGUGUACCCCUCUGUAAAAUGAGUGGGUUACCUCCCGUCCUUUGUUGACCUCUUAGGAGGUUAUUUUGAACUUUCUGCUUCGGUGGGGUUAAACCUACCGGAACACCCUCAAAUUCUUAUCAUUUAAAAAUUGUUCAGUCCGAUUUUUUGUUAAUAAAAACAAAAAACUUUCAGCAACGGAUCUCUAGAUCGGAAG